rnacentral:tRNA from 1 species
AUUUAUAUAGUUUAUAAAACAUUACAUUUUCAAUGUAAAAAUAAGAUUUUAAUCUUUGUAAAUA